UACAGAGGGUGCAAACGUUGCUCGGAAUUAUUAGGCGUAAAGCGCGUGUAGGCGGCUUGUUAAGUUGGUUGUGAAAACCCAUGGCUCAACCAUGGAAGGGCGUCCAAAACUGGCAAGCUAGAGUCCCGACGAGGAUGGCGGAAUUCCCAGUGUAGAGGUGAAAUUCGUAGAUAUUGGGAGGAACACCGGUGGCGAAGGCGGCCAUCUGGGAGGGCACUGACGCUGAGACGCGAAAGCGUGGGGAGCAAACAGG
rnacentral:rRNA from 1 species